GAUUAACGCUGGCGGCGUGCAUGAGACAUGCAAGUCGAACGGGCGACUCGGGCUUGCUCGAGUCGCUAGUGGCGGACGGCUGAGUAACGCGUAGGUGACUUGCCCUGAAGUGGGGAAUAACUGCCCGAAAGGGUGGCUAAUACCGCAUGUGGUGGUGCGUUCAUUCGCACCAGUAAAGCCGCAAGGCGCUUCAGGAGAGGCCUGCGUUCCGAUUAGCUCGUUGGNGGGUAACGGCGUCACCAAGGCGACGAUCGGUAGGUGGCCUGAGAGGACGGAU
rnacentral:rRNA from 1 species